AAGGUUGUAGUCUGAGUAGAUGUUGAAUUUAAUCACUUUUUGGAAUGACACUAUGAAUGUUCAAGUGCCCCUCUAGUAGUCCCUUGGGCUUAGCUCGUGGGUCCCAGAUGACUCGAGAGUGAUUGACACAUUGAAAAAAUAACAUUUUCUGUGUUUUUUGACAGCUGGGUUUAGGCCGUUUUGUUUCGUUUUGAUUAGGGGCAGUUUGGUAGCGCAAUUAACAAUCCCUCCUGCCUGCACUGGAUGCGGGGAACUAAUUAAAACAGCUUGCCAGAAACAGAGUCAGGGAUCGCAUAUAGCGACUUGGGUAUGUUUGAAGAGUCAAAAUCGAUCCUGGAGCUGGGUGAGUCGAGAGAAACCAUGGGACCAUAGCACUCACCCACUUGCGAUGAGGCCAUCCACUGCUUUCCACUCCGAUUAUGCCUGCCCAUACCAUAACUUCUCCAUGGGGCAUUCUGUUCACAACAUUGACAUCAGCAAACCGCUCGCCCACAUGACGCCAUACACACUGUCUGCCAUCUGCUCAGUACGCUUGAAACCAGGAUUCAUCUGUGAAGAGCACCCUUCUCCAGCAUGCCAGUGGCCAUCGAAGGGGAUGCUGAACUGCAGUCAGGUCAAGACCCUGCUCUGGUGGACAUUCCUGCAGUCACCAUGCCAAUUGCACACUCCCUCAAAACUUGAGACAUCAGUGGCAUUGUGUUGUGUGACAAAACUGCCCAUUUUAGUGUCCUUUUAUUGUCAGUACAAGGUGCACCUGUGUAAUGAUCAUGCUGUAUAAUCAGCGUCUUGAUAUGCCACACCUGUAAGGUGGAUGGAUCUCGGCAAAGGAGAUAUGUUCACCAACAGGGAUGUAAACAAAUUUGUACACAGAACCUGAGAGAAAUCAGAUUUUUGUGCAUACUGUAUAGAACAUUUCUGGGAUCUUUUAUUUCAGCUCAUGAAACAUGUGACCAACACUUUACAUGGUGCAUUUAUAUUAUAUUUUUUUAUAUAUUAUAUUUUUGUUCAGUAUAUUUCAUAUGUAAACUUAUGUACAUAAUUCAUUUGUAUUGAGUAGCCUAAGCAUUAGCCGCAUAAAUGUUUGCAGCCGUAGGUGGUAAUAUCUCUCUUGGAGCUGAUUCGUCGUCAGUAUUGUGAAAUAAUUCUCAUGUCAAGGUAAUAUUUGAAUGGAGGAAGCUGAUCUGAGAGCAGUGCUAUCUUUGGAUCCUAUCUGUAUCGACACAUGCUCCAACCAUGGACUUAGCAACCAUUCUCUCAGCGAAGUGUUUAGCUGUUGUAAGAAAGAUGCAUCAUUAAAACACUUGUAAGCC